AUUGAACGCUGGCGGCAGGCCUAACACAUGCAAGUCGAGCGGAUGAAGGGAGCUUGCUCCUGGAUUCAGCGGCGGAUGGGUGAGUAAUGCCUAGGAAUCUGCCUGGUAGUGGGGGAUAGCGUCCGGAAACGGGCGCUAAUACCGCAUACGUCCUGAGGGAGAAAGUGGGGGAUCUUCGGACCUCACGCUAUCAGAUGAGCCUAGGUCGGAUUAGCUAGUUGGUGGGGUAAAGGCCUACCAAGGCGACGAUCCGUAACUGGUCUGAGAGGAUGAUCAGUCACACUGGAACUGAGACACGGUCCAGACUCCUACGGGAGGCAGCAGUGGGGAAUAUUGGACAAUGGGCGAAAGCCUGAUCCAGCCAUGCCGCGUGUGUGAAGAAGGUCUUCGGAUUGUAAAGCACUUUAAGUUGGGAGGAAGGGCAGUAAGUUAAUACCUUGCUGUUUUGACGUUACCAACAGAAUAAGCACCGGCUAACUUCGUG
rnacentral:rRNA from 1 species